rnacentral:lncRNA from 1 species
AUAAUAUUAAUCUCAAAUAAGUUUAUAACUAAAUUACUCACAGCAAAUUAAUUAAGAGAUAAGUAUUGUCUCUCAUAGUUUUUAUCUCUUCACCAAGGUGUGCCAGCUAAGAUCCUUUCGCGUCUUUUCAGGUACCAUCUUUGAUUGACGGCUCCAUCAACCUUGCAUAACACUCUUUCCUUGCAAAGUUUACCAAGCUCCCAAGAAAAGCUUUUCUCUCAUUGAGCGACCACGCUGAGUAGUGGAUUCCCUCCAGAUUUCUCUCCCAGAUCUGCGAGUGGAGCCUCUUCUCUGCUAAGUCGCCGCGUGCCUUGAGUGCCACCAUGAAAGUCUGAGCGUUUGGCUGCGGCUUGCUCAUAGCACUCAAGAGCAAAGGUUGUUCUUGGCAAAUCCCAGGAAACAACGUUUUGCUGCUCCAUGCAAAGUCUCAGCGUUUGGAGGCAGGCCAGCUUCUCGUUGCAUCUGGUAGAAGACGUGCACGUCCCAUGAUGA